rnacentral:tRNA from 2 species
GGCUCUGUGGCUUAGUUGGUAAAAGCGCCUGUCUAGUAAACAGGAGAUCCUGGGUUCGAAUCCCAGCGGAGCCU